rnacentral:lncRNA from 1 species
UCUCACAACCCUUCUUUGAGAUAAGGAAAGUGAGAGCCAGAGAGUGUGAGUAACUUAGGUCUGAGGUUACAUAACUAAUAAGCUCAGAUUUUUUGCUGCUUCCUACGAUACUCUCUCCAAAUUGCAGUUGAUCUCCACCAUUCUAGAGUUCCACCCAACCCCCAACUGCUUAAUCAUGGCCAACUGACACAAGACAAGCCCAAGACUGAACUCUGAUACAUCCAGUGCUGGCAGGUGGACACCAGGCAAGGCAACAUUCACCUCCAGAGAAAGAAUAAUUCUUUUCUCAGCUUGACUCAACUUAGCAUAGUUUGGCCUGCCUCGUAAUUGGAAUAGGUUCCCUAGCAGUGCUGAGCCAGAGGGCCACCACUCAAGAGAAGGAAGCUCUGAAGGUCUUGGAGCCUACAGAUUUGUGAGAUCUGGAGAGCUAUGUCAGGAUGGCAAGGAAAGAAAAAGCCACCAGAAAAGUAAAACUCAUGUUCUGUGGUUAAGAAAAGACAAGGGGCAGCAGAGAAGUUAAGAGUACAGACUUUGGAGCCAGGCAAAACUGGACUGGAGACUUACAUCAACCACUGACCAAGUCAACUCACCCAUAUUACUUAACCUGGGAAGCAAGAAUAUCAUCUGUGUUGGUGCAAACACCUUAAACAAGACCAGUGAGUGAUAUACAUGGAUAGGUUUUG